rnacentral:rRNA from 1 species
AGUGAACGCUGGCGGUAGGCCUAACACAUGCAAGUCGAACGGCAGCACAGUAAGAGCUUGCUCUUACGGGUGGCGAGUGGCGGACGGGUGAGGAAUACAUCGGAAUCUACUUUUUCGUGGGGGAUAAGGUGGGAAACCUACCCCAAUUACGCCUUCGAACUUCGGGUGAAAAGCAGGGGAUCUUCGGCCUUGCCGGGAUUGAUGGGGCGGAUGCCGGAUUAGCUAGUUGGCGGGGUAAAGGCCCACCAAGGCGACGAUCCGUAGCUGGUCUGAGAGGAUGAUCAGCCACACUGGAACUGAGACACGGUCCAGACUCCUACGGGAGGCAGCAGUGGGGAAUAUUGGACAAUGGGCGCAAGCCUGAUCCAGCCAUACCGCGUGGGUGAAGAAGGCCUUCGGGUUGUAAAGCCCUUUUGUUGGGAAAGAAAAGCAGCAGGUUAAUACCCCGCUGUUCUGACGGUACCCAAAGAAUAAGCACCGGCUAACUUCGUG